rnacentral:rRNA from 1 species
GUGGGGAAUAUUGGACAAUGGGCGAAAGCCUGAUCCAGCCAUGCCGCGUGAGUGAUGAAGGCCCUAGGGUUGUAAAGCUCUUUCACCGGUGAAGAUAAUGACGGUAACCGGAGAAGAAGCCCCGGCUAACUUCGUGCCAGCAGCCGCGGUAAUACGAAGGGGGCUAGCGUUGUUCGGAAUUACUGGGCGUAAAGCGCACGUAGGCGGACUAUUAAGUCAGGGGUGAAAUCCCGGGGCUCAACCCCGGAACUGCCUCUGAUACUGGUAGUCUCGAGUCCGGAAGAGGUGAGUGGAAUUCCGAGUGUAGAGGUGAAAUUCGUAGAUAUUCGGAGGAACACCAGUGGCGAAGGCGGCUCACUGGUCCGGUACUGACGCUGAGGUGCGAAAGCGUGGGGAGCAAACAGGAUUAGAAACCCUAGUAGUCC